AUACAUAUUUACAUGUUUCUACUUUUAAUCGGUUUUGUUCGGUUUAUUCGGUUUAAUCGGUUAUAUACCAAACCAUAUCCAAAUCCUACAGUUUUUAUAAAAUUAUAUCCAUUCGGUUUAUAUGGUAUAUACCAAAACCAAACCAUAUUGUCUAUUUCGGUUCGGUUCGGUACGGUUCGGUUUUACCAUAUUAAACAGUCCUAGCCAAAAUAUCUACUGUCUAAAUUCAAAAGCAAAAAAAAACUAAAGUCACAGCAUUAACCAAUCACCCCAAAAACACAUUUUAUGUAUGAAUAACGUUGAUUUGGUUGAGAAGAAAGAUCUGUUUAAGGUUGCUGAGGAGUUCCAAAAUAUUCUAGGAUAUGAAAAAAGGUACUUCAUGAUAUUAGGACUCGAGGGAUCUGGAGUUAAAGAUUUCAGCCAAUGUUUAAUGGACCAAGCAGUUAAGAAACCAUGGGAGGUAGAUGCAUUCACCAUGAAUGAAGAAGUCAUGAAGAACAUCUCUCUUGAGGUUGUUAGGGAGGGAUAGUGCAUCUCUCUUAAGGGGUGCACUAUCAUUCAAAUUUCAAAAGUGCACUAACAAACACUCACCAUUAGGUGGUAUAAAUAAGCUUAAAUGAGUAAAAAGGCAUUAGUACA